GUUCCUUUCACUCAGGAAGAUGACCUCAUCAUCCACCAUGGCUUGGAUUCUUUUGCUCUUCUCCAUCCUGUCUUCCUUUGGUCUCAGUAUCCAGCAGCUGCAGAGCCUGAAGAAUGAAGAAUCUGUAGCUCUAGGUGGGACAGUCACCAUAUCUUGUAGCUAUAGCGGUGGGACCAUCAGUAACAACAAUUACCUUCGAUGGAUCCAGCAGAAACCAGGGCAGGUUCUAAAGCUCUUAAUUGCUACCAGCAACAGCAGGCCUUCAGGCGUCCCAGCCCGCUUCUCUGGUUCCACCUCAGGGAACAUCAUGUCCUUGACCAUCACGGGAGCUUUGGGUGAAGACGAUGCUACUUAUUACUGUGCAGUUUGGACUGGGAGCGGGUACACAGUCAUUGAUUCAGAUAGAGAAGUGAGACAAAAACCCUUCUCUUAG